CACGGCUCUGGAUUUGGCUGUGAUGUGAUGAGAGUGGGAGGUGAGUUUCAAAGUAUGCUGACUAUAGAGGGCAUUCAAAUAAAGAAAGAGCACUGGCUAUGUACAUGUCUAGUUUGAGUUUUGUUGUGAAGCACUGGAUUCAUUCAUACAUCAAAGGGAACCUAAGGCAUCAGAGCCCACAUAGACAGAAAACAAAGGCACUGUUUACAAGGCGGAAACUUGCUGAGAGAAGCAGCUGAGUUUUGCAAGGCUCACCCACUGACUGCCACCUUGGAGAGUGCCUUGGACUGCAGAACAGUGGACUUCCAGUCCUCCAGCCCUUCACAAAACUUGGAGGAGGCCCUUGUCAGUGAGAAACUUUGACAGGUCAGUGAGCAAGAAGAUUUGAGGCUUAUUCAGAGUCUGCACUCUCAUCUGAAGCACGAUGCAACAAAUAGCUAUGAGGAGCAAACACAAGGAAUGAUGAAGAGGAAUAAAUG